ACGGGUGAGUAACACGUGGGCAACCUGCCUGUAAGACUGGGAUAACUUCGGGAAACCGGAGCUAAUACCGGAUAAUCCUUUUCCUCACAUGAGGAAAAGCUGAAAGUCGGUUUCGGCUGACACUUACAGAUGGGCCCGCGGCGCAUUAGCUAGUUGGUGAGGUAACGGCUCACCAAGGCGACGAUGCGUAGCCGACCUGAGAGGGUGAUCGGCCACACUGGGACUGAGACACGGCCCAGACUCCUACGGGAGGCAGCAGUAGGGAAUCUUCCACAAUGGACGAAAGUCUGAUGGAGCAACGCCGCGUGAGCGAUGAAGGCCUUCGGGUCGUAAAGCUCUGUUGUUAGGGAAGAACAAGUACCGGAGUAACUGCCGGUACCUUGACGGUACCUAACCAGAAAGCCACGGCUAACUACGUGCCAGCAGCCGCGGUAAUACGUAGGUGGCAAGCGUUGUCCGGAAUUAUUGGGCGUAAAGCGCGCGCAGGCGGUCCUUUAAGUCUGAUGUGAAAGCCCACGGCUCAACCGUGGAGGGUCAUUGGAAACUGGGGGACUUGAGUGCAGAAGAGGAAAGCGGAAUUCCACGUGUAGC
rnacentral:rRNA from 1 species